rnacentral:rRNA from 1 species
UACAGAGGUCUCAAGCGUUGUUCGGAUUCACUGGGCGUAAAGGGCGCGUAGGCGGGCGAUCAAGUCGGUGGUGAAAUCCUACAGCUUAACUGUAGAACUGCCUCCGAUACUGGUUGUCUCGAGGAAGGUAGGGGCGUGCGGAACAGUUGGUGGAGCGGUGAAAUGCGUUGAUAUCAACUGGAACUCCGGUGGCGAAGGCGGCACGCUGGACCUUUUCUGACGCUGAGGCGCGAAAGCCAGGGGAGCAAACGGG